rnacentral:lncRNA from 1 species
AUAGCCCUCCUACCAGAAGGAGAGAGAGAGAAAGAGCCUUUAACUUUAAGGUUCUCUCAUCUCUAUCUUCCUCUUUUCUUUCUCUUUCUCGAUUCUCUCUCUAGUCUGAUCCAGGGUGGGGAAUUUUGUGGAAGGGGCUCGAUGAAUGGUCGCAGGACUCUUCUUGGUGGUGUACCUAGUAGAGGAUUCUAGGUUGUUGAUUAUUCUUUGAUGAUCUUGAUUGGAUGAGAAGUUACUAUGAUUGGACCAACCCAGGCCAUUGGGCAUUACCACCCAAUCAACUCUAUUCCACCCUCUUAGUCUCUCUCUCCUCUCUUCUUCACUCUUCUCUCUCUACGUUUUCUCUCUCUCCUCCCCCUAGAUACCUUAUGGAUCAAUGGAGGGUUUAGGUACUUUGUGAUUUAUCGACCCUAUGAAGGGUCCCAGACCUAUGUUAU